AUCGAACGCUGGCGGCAGGCUUAACACAUGCAAGUCGAGCGGAGGGGCGGACGGGGCAGUAAUGCCUAGAACUCUGCCUUGUCGUGGGGGAUAAAGUCGGGAAACGGGCGCUAAUACGGCAUAAUAUCAGAUGAGGCUAGGGCGGAUGAGCUAGUUGGUGGGGUAAAGGCCUACCAAGGCGACGAUGCCUAACUGGUCCGAGAGGAUGAUCAGCCACACUGGAACUGAGACACGGUCCAGAAUCCUACGGGAGGCAGCAGUGGGGAAUAUUGGACAAUGGGCGAAAGCCUGAUCCAGCCAUGCCGCGUGUGUGAAGAAGGUUUUCGGAUUGUAAAGCACUUUAAGUUGGGUGGCGUUACCAACAGAAUAAGCACCGGCUAACUUCGUGCCAGCAGCCGCGGUAAUAC
rnacentral:rRNA from 1 species